rnacentral:lncRNA from 1 species
AAAACUCAAUAUAAUGAUUGAAGAGUGUGGAGGCUUGGAUAAAAUUGAAGCACUACAGAGCCGUGGGAACGAGUCUGUAUACAAGGCCUUGUUGAACCUAAUUAAGAAGUACUUCUCAGUGGAGGAAGAGGAAGAUCAAAAUGUGGUGCCAGAAACUACCUCUGAAGGCUUCGCCUUCCAAGUUCAGGAUGGAGCUCCCGGGACCUUUGACUUCUAAUGUCCAGCCAAAGCACAAAGUUGUUAGCUAUGUGCUGUGCUAUGCUGUGUUCUCAUAAAUUUGUCUUACUGUCUCUACUAAGAACUCUUUUUAAGUGUGGUUUGUUAUUGUAGCACUUUCACAAACUAUACUUGAACAGUUAUAAACUGAACAUACUCUAUGAA